rnacentral:rRNA from 1 species
UACGAAGGGGGCUAGCGUUGUUCGGAAUCACUGGGCGUAAAGGGCGCGUAGGCGGUGUGUCAAGUCAGGCGUGAAAGCCCCGGGCUCAACCUGGGAACCGCGCUUGAGACUGGCACGCUCGAGUUCGGGAGAGGAUGGUGGAAUUCCCAGUGUAGAGGUGAAAUUCGUAGAUAUUGGGAAGAACACCGAUGGCGAAGGCAGCCAUCUGGACCGACACUGACGCUGAGGCGCGAAAGCGUGGGGAGCAAACAGG